rnacentral:rRNA from 1 species
AGUGAACGCUGGCGGUAGGCCUAACACAUGCAAGUCGAACGGCAGCACAGUAAGAGCUUGCUCUUACGGGUGGCGAGUGGCGGACGGGUGAGGAAUACAUCGGAAUCUACUUUUUCGUGGGGGAUAACGUAGGGAAACUUACGCUAAUGCCGCAUACGACCUACGGGUGAAAGCAGGGGAUCUUCGGACCUUGCGCGAUUGAAUGAGCCGAUGUCGGAUUAGCUAGUUGGCGGGGUAAAGGCCCACCAAGGCGACGAUCCGUAGCUGGUCUGAGAGGAUGAUCAGCCACACUGGAACUGAGACACGGUCCAGACUCCUACGGGAGGCAGCAGUGGGGAAUAUUGGACAAUGGGCGCAAGCCUGAUCCAGCCAUACCGCGUGGGUGAAGAAGGCCCUCGGGUUGUAAAGCCCUUUUGUUGGGAAAGAAAAGCAGCAGGUUAAUACCCCGCUGUUCUGACGGUACCCAAAGAAUAAGCACCGGCUAACUUCGUG